rnacentral:rRNA from 1 species
GUGCCUCGCUUGCGAACACCCUUGGUCUCCCGAUAACGUUGGGGUGGCCCGGUGUUCUUUUCUCUCGGCGACGUAAAACUCGCUUGGGCUAACAAACGCUGCGCUAAACCAACGCAACAAAAAAACCGGCGUGAAACGCGCCAAGGAACAUGAAAGAGAGUGCGCUCUUCUGGUGUCAGCACUGCUGCGCCAGGAUGGGUGUUGUCUUCUUGAUGAGUUUAUAAUGACUCUCGGCAACGGAUAUCUCGGCUCUUACAUCGAUGAAGAACGUAGCAAAAUGCGAUACUUGGUGUGAAUUGCAGAAUCCCGUGAACCAUUGAGUCUUUGAACGCAAGUUGCGCCCGAAUCCUUUUGGUCGAGGGCACGUCUGCCUGGGUGUCACGC